GUUGCGUUGAAUGGCUGGCCCAAUGAACUUUAUUAGUGGAGUUCUGCAUGCACAAAAUUUUUUGUCAAAAUCGACGAGUCAUGAGUCGUGUAGACGACCUUGUAAGACUGAAACUAUCAGACAUGGAAAAAAAAUUCAAAGUUUAGCUCAAUCAGACAGUCACAAAUAUUCUAUUAAGAGUUUUUUCAAAUUUAACAUAUGCCUAAGUAAGAACCAAUUGUUUUGUUGAAUUCAUUUUAUAUUCAUUUUCUUGUAGCUAUCAGUUUAUUUUUUAUUAAUGUUUGUACUUAGAUAUUUAAGAUUAUGU
rnacentral:lncRNA from 1 species